GGACCUUUAGCUCAGCUGGUUAGAGCGCACCCCUGAUAAGGGUGAGGCCGAUAGUUCGAAUCUAUUAAGGUCCACCA
rnacentral:tRNA from 1 species